AUUAGCCCAUGGUAAACCGUAAACAAAUCUAAUGAAGACUAAUUUCUCACAUGGUCCAUACCAGUUCAUCACUUGUAGAAGAUAAAAACUAGAGAUUUUAUGUUCGUUAAGUAUCCUUAAAAGAAACAAAGGGCGGAAACGAAAUAUGCAUAGCUGCAGUUGCACAUUAAAUAAAUUUCAUUUCAAUAAAAAGCAAUAAUAACAUAGAUAAUCUUAGAAUCUUAAGAUUCAACACCCAUGCCCAAACAAGGAUAUUUCAUCAAUAAUAGAGGAGGUUACUACAAAACUAAAAAGAGCUUCAACGUCAUAUCAUUUGUUUUGCAUAGAUUUCUGAUUCAUACAUAAGUUAUCUCAGCACUUAACUAUACGCUCUAAAUUUAAGUUAUUUUUGUUUUUAAUUCUACUUUUAUCAAUUCCAAUCCAUAACAGCUAUAAUAUA
rnacentral:misc_RNA from 1 species